GCAGAGUCAGUGUGACUGCAACUCCCAUUCCCCUGCACUGCUGGAAGGAAGAAGGUUAAGAAUUAAAUCAGGAAUGAAGCCAAGCCUAGGAAGAAGGGAAGCGUGGGGGAAGAAGAGAAACAGAAGAAAUCACCAUUAAUUCUAACAAAUCCAAUCAAAAGACAGUAAAUAAUCAGCUGCAGUUAAUUUGCCACAAUGCAGACUGCAAUAAGGAACAUCCUGCAUGGCCACCCAUAACAAUCCUUCUGGUCUUUUUCCCUCUUUCACUGGGUUCUGGGCCACAUCUUUGUUACGCUUUCGAAGAGAAGUUCCUUCACAUUGGCUGCCUCUCUCUUCCAUCAGACUAAUUUCUCCCUGGAGCUGUUUUUCUCUGCUGACUACAAAGGUAUUUUUGAAUCAUAUCCACUAAAUGCUGAGAUUAUAAACCUACAAUGAAAGAAGGCUAAUUCCACCACAAGGAGAAACAAGAUUGCUAUUGCAGAUUGAGGAACACGGCAUCUGGAAUUAUUUUAAAAUGUUUCUUCCAGGAAGUUUCAACAGCAGUGCCAAUUCAUCACUUUACGCACAUCCAACAAUUCCUGAAUAGUGAUUCAUUCCAUGGCUUUCAACAUGGCAUCCAGACCACUGAAUAGAUCACAGCAACAGAAAUUGUGUGGACCAGUAUAUAGGAACUGAAUCAUAUCUAUAAAAGGGGGAAAAAGUCAGUUCCUCUCCUUGGCCAGAAAAAUAUGUUUAUUUUUUCUAUUAGUUUCAUUGAUGAAUCUUUAAUCCUGAUUAAGUACUUUGUUCUUAAACAAAGAGAAGCAGGAGGUUGUUAUUAGGCCACCCAGAGUUAACAUUUCUGUAUGUUUGAUAUUCUGCAGGUAAGCAGCAGAUAUGACAGUUUCAAAAGCUACUUUUACUAUGAGUAAUGUUCAUAGCCUAUGAGGAAGGAAUAUUUUUGGUUUCAAAUUUUGCUUUAUUGAAUGUUUUAAAGAGGUUUUUUUUUUUUCAGAAUGGUGAAAGAAAUAUAAAAAAAUACUAACUAAUUUCAUCUCCCUCUCUCAUCAGAGUAGGUGAUAUCUUAGAUAGAUCUGUGAUGCAGACUAAGUCUUUGAGUCAUAAAACUACAGUCUGCCUUUCUUUCUCAAGUGCUGUAAUAAAAAAUGACAAGGAAUUUCCAGACCGAAGACAGGUGAGUCACAGGAAAAGACAACCUCACUGUUUUAUCCAGUCAGAAUGAAUGUAAGGUUUCCAUAACCUGAACCUCAGAAUUGUUAAUGAACAUUUCAAGAGCAGAUUAGCUACUUAAUGACUCUAUAGAUCACAUCUGCCAUUCCACAUCAAUGGCAGCUGCUGCAAGACUCUGACUAUUAAGAAAGGAGCCAUACCUGCCACAUUGAGAAAAAAAAUGUCGGUGUUUGCCUUGAUUAAAGCAUCUCUGGGGAUAGAUGUAUGCUUUUAACCUGUUGGAGAAUAGGUCUUAAUAAAAAUGAAAAUAGUAAUAACAACAA